rnacentral:misc_RNA from 1 species
UAAAAGACAAACAUAAUGAAAAUGUCUCAACAUCGAAUGUCUGAUGUCAUUGGUAUAUUUAAAGGAGCUAAAACAGUAGCUGAUGCUAUGCUUAAAUAUCAAGAAGAGACAAUUACACAUUUAAUACAGACUUCAUCUUUAAAAAUUACUGCAGAGAGAUGUCUGACAAAUAAUUUAAAAACAUUGAAUAAUAUAGAACCAAGUAAGGUUCCUCUUCAAAUAACAAAAGAAUUUAAAGAAAUUGUAGAACGAUUAAAUGUUAUUGAAAAGGGUAUAAUAGAAUUUAUAAAAUUAAAAACUAAAGAAAUCACAGGAUUGUCAUUAGAUGUUGAGAUACCGAUAAAAACUAAAAAAACUAAAUUAUAUAUUUAUAAUCUUGCUAAAGAUCCAAAAGAAAUAACAAUAGAAAUGGAUAUUUCAAAAAUGAAAUAUAAUUCUGAAAAUAAUUACACAAAUGAAGAUACACAGGAUAAACCUAUGAAAAAAUAUUUAACUGUAAAAGAAAAAAUUGAAACCAUUUCCAAAUUAGAAAAUGAAAUACCUAAAAUUGUACUUUCUGAAAAAGAUAAAGCAAUAUUGAAGAAAUUAGAAUUAGAACAUGAAAAAAAUAUAAAAAGUCAAAACAUAAAACAAGAUAUAUCAAAUGAAUCAAAAAUUGAUGCUGAAGUUAUUAAAAUAGAAAAUAAAAAAAUAACUUCAAAUAAUUCUCAAGUUAAAUUAAAACCAUCUGUUAGACCAAAAAAAACUCUUUCACCUAAUGCAAAAGCUCAAAAAGUUCCAGCUACCAGAUUACAAAGAAUGAUGAGCUUUGGAACAUUAGGAAUUGGACUUGGUGUUGGAACUGUUGCAGAAUACACACGCAGAACAUUUGGAUUAAAAAAACAAAGUCUUGGAAACACAUUUGAUACUCUUUUUCUUACUAAAGCAAAUGCAGAAAGAAUAGUUUCUACUUUAUGUAAAGUAAGAGGUGCUGCUUUAAAAAUUGGACAAAUUUUAAGUAUACAAGAUGAAACCAUUAUAAGUCCUGAAUUACAAAAAGUAUUUGAACGAGUUAGACAAAGUGCAGAUUUCAUGCCAACAUGGCAAGUUGAGAAAGUAUUAAGUACUGAACUUGGACAUGAUUGGAGAACUAAAUUAAGUACUUUUGAAGAUAAACCAUUUGCUGCAGCUUCUAUUGGUCAAGUACAUCAUGGUACUUUGUUAAAUGGACAGGAUGUUGCAAUUAAAAUUCAAUAUCCUGGUGUAGCUAUGGGUAUUCAAAGUGAUGUUGAAAAUUUAAUAGGCAUAAUGAAGGUUUGGAAUAUUUUUCCAAAAGGUAUGUUUAUAGAUAAUUUAGUAGAAGUUGCAAAACGUGAACUUGCAUGGGAAGUGGAUUAUAUCAGAGAAGCAGAAUGUACUAGAAAAUAUAAAAAAUUAAUGGAACCUUAUUCAAAUUAUUAUGUUCCAACUGUAAUUGAUGAACUGUCAACAAAUCAAAUUUUUACAACUGAAAUGGUAGAAGGAAUUCCAGUAGAUAAAUGUACUACUAUGGAUAUGGAUACAAAGGAACAUAUCUGUAAAUUAAUAAUGAAUUUGUGCCUUAAGGAAUUAUUUGUUUUUCGAUAUAUGCAAACUGAUCCAAAUUGGUCUAAUUUUCUUUACAAUACUAAUACAAGACAAGUAUAUAAGAUAUUAUUAAGAAUUAAUAUUAUUAGAUUUUGGUGCAUGUCGAGAUUAUGAGAAAUCAUUUAUGGAUAAAUAUAUUGAAGUAAUUUAUGCUGCAAGUGAAGGUGAUCGUAAAAAAAUUUUAAAUUUAUCUAGAGACAUGGGAUUUCUUACAGGAUAUGAAUCUAAACUUAUGGAAGAAGCUCAUGUAGAUGCAGUAAUGGUUUUGGGACAAGUAUUUGAUAAAAAUUAUAAAUACUAUGACUUUGGUGGACAAGAUGUAACUAAAAGAAUUCAAACAUUAGUUCCAACAAUAAUAGAUCACAGGUUAUGCCCUCCACCUGAAGAAAUUUAUAGUUUACAUAGAAAAUUAUCAGGAAUUUUUUUACUAUGUGCCAAACUUCAAGUUAAAAUAAAUUGUCGCGAUAUGUUUCGCGAAGUUUAUGCAAAUUAUAAAUUUGGAUAAUAUCAUUAUAAAUUAAUAUUUAUAUUUUAUAUAUAAUUAAUUAAAUAUAAACAUAAUUUCAA